UACGUAAUUGACCAUUCCCCUAACUGCUCCUUUUCUCUUGCAAUAUGUGGAUUCAGUAAUGUGACCAUACCCUACCUCUUUCCCCUCCAGCCUGCUUUUCCCCAUUAAAUACUGAAGCCCUCAAAAUAGUAUUUGGAGAAAGGCACAGACAUAUCACCCAGGAAAGAAAAACCCUGUAAUCUACUGCAGAUAGCUGAAUUGGGCUGAUACAUGUGCUUUCUCAAAGAAUACCUCUUUUGGCUCCACAAGAAGCAAACAGCUCACUCGAAAGUUCUAGAGCAUUAUACAACGCCUUGAUUUGGGGGAGCCUUGAAGAAACCUUUGCUGGCAAUAGCAAUGACAAUUCAGGGAUUAAUGGUGGAGCUUGUUAGAGGUGGUAACUUCAAA
rnacentral:lncRNA from 1 species